AGCUCUUCGUGACAGUCGAGUAAAAUGUCUUUCUGCUUAAUUAAACCUGACUAAAACGUCGUUUCUUAUUAUGACUUCUGAUUAAUUCAUGGUUUUUAUUCGAAAAUCUCUUUUAGUUGAGUCGUGAUCUUUGGAGAGGAAGAAAUUUACGCAUGGUGCGCAACAUUUAUCCGAUCCACCGGCCACAUUUACAUUCACAAUAUUUCCACCAUCACAAAAGCCUGAUGUUAAACCCAGCAUGAAUGAGACUCCGUUCAGGAAGUAAGAGGCCUCACCUACUUUCACUCCUGAGAGAGAGCGGCCAUCUUUAAAGUUCUCUGUCAGCACACAGGCAUAGCCUGGCUGCUAAUAUUAGCACUUCCACUCUCCAGAAGCUUUAAGACUGAGAAAAAACAAGUGAAGAACUACUUCAAGAAGUCAUAGCAACGCAAAGCAAGGCUUUCUUAUCUGUAAUGAACAAUGAAGAUUGAGAGGUGACAAGAAGAACAAUUCAUCCGUUGGCUGGAAGGAGCACUGCUUGGGGGCUUGAUGUCGAUGUAAGAUAAGAGACAUGGAGUGAUGCUGAUUCCUGCGUUGAGGUAAAGUAUAGAUUCAGAUCGAAUCAUGUAGGAUUUCGGGCUUUAAAGCUCACAGUUAUUCAUAUAACUAAGAAACACAGACUACACUGAUGCAUACUGAUUCAUUGUUGUUGUUUUUUCCCUUAAAUGAAAAUCCUGUAGCUGUGUUUGAUGUAUCUUUAGCUCAUGUAUUCGCUUUACUUUUUUAUUGUCCUUUUAUUAAGUCUUUAUAAAUAUUUAUAUUGGAAACUCCUCCAAAAUCCAUAAUAUUCAGAGAAGUGUGCAAUUUGUUCCAAAUGCCUGCAGAUUUGUUCACAACACAGUGCCUCUUAUAUUCAGGUGUGGAUCAUGAGCACGGCACUCACACGAAGUCUUUACAUAUGGGGAGAUUAAAAGAAUCUGUCCUUGUGAUUUCACCAAUUCGACUAGUGUUCUGCAAAGAAAAUGCACCAAAACACAAAAUCGAGCAUUUUUAGAUCCACAAUCACAAAAAACUUCAGUGUAUAAACACAAUGUCAUGUCUGUGAUUAUCUGUUCAAUAAAAUCACUAAACUGUAAA